rnacentral:rRNA from 1 species
GGACGAACGCUGGCGGCGUGCUUGACACAUGCAAGUCGAACGGAAAGGCCCUGCUUUUGUGGGGUGCUCGAGUGGCGAACGGGUGAGUAACACGUGAGUAACCUGCCCUUGACUUUGGGAUAACUUCAGGAAACUGGGGCUAAUACCGGAUAGGAGCUCCUGCUGCAUGGUGGGGGUUGGAAAGUUUCGGCGGUUGGGGAUGGACUCGCGGCUUAUCAGCUUGUUGGUGGGGUAGUGGCUUACCAAGGCUUUGACGGGUAGCCGGCCUGAGAGGGUGACCGGCCACAUUGGGACUGAGAUACGGCCCAGACUCCUACGGGAGGCAGCAGUGGGGAAUAUUGCACAAUGGGCGGAAGCCUGAUGCAGCAACGCCGCGUGCGGGAUGACGGCCUUCGGGUUGUAAACCGCUUUCGCCUGUGACGAAGCGUGAGUGACGGUAAUGGGUAAAGAAGCACCGGCUAACUACGUG